CAUGGCUUUUAGGUUUAUGAUAAAAAGUUUAGCCUGCCCAAUGAUUAAUUCAAUGGCCGCGGUAUUUUGACCGUGCAAAGGUAGCAUAAUCAUUAGUUUUUUAAUUGAAAGCUGGUAUGAAUGGCUGGACGAGAAGAGUUCUGUCUCAAUUGAAUUUUUAUGGAAUUUUACUUUUAAGUUAAAAGGCUUAAAUAAUCAUUAAAGACGAGAAGACCCUAUAGAGUUUUAUAUUUAUCUAAGUUUUUUAGAUUAAGAAUUUAUUUUGAGGAUUUAGUUAAAUAUUUGGUUGGGGUGACAGGAAGAUUAAAUUAACUCUUCUUUUCUUUAUAUCAUUUUAGAUGUAUAAUUGAUCCGUUAUUUACGAUUAAAAGAUUAAAUUACCUUAGGGAUAACAGCGUUAUUUUUUUAGAGAGUUCUAAUUGAUAAAAAAGUUUGCGACCUCGAUGUUGGAUUAAAAUUAAUUUUUGGUGCAGUAGCUUUAGAAUUAAGUCUGUUCGACUUUUAAAAUUUUACAUGAUCUGAGU
rnacentral:rRNA from 1 species